UUUCACAGCAACUUAAAGACACAUUUGAGAGGGAAUUGUAUAACCUGUUUAACUUUAAAAUGACCAGAUUUGUUUUAAUCCAUUAAAAUACUAUCUUAAUGUAUAGCGUAGUGUUUUUAUUAAAGUUGCUAAAUUGUUUUCUAGUUGCUAAAUUGUUUUCAGAAGUUCUUGGAACAGAGUUAUAUUUCUGUGACUGAUGACUGAUUGAAUUCUUGGACAGCAAAACAGUAGCAGUCGUGCACAAAGCUGGUACAGUGGUGGUGGCUGCGUUUGGCCAGAUUACCCGAGGGAUGAAAGGGUGGACAAGGCGGUCCGAAGUGCCGAAGAACCUGAACCUGACUGGCAGACACAUUAUGUCAGAAUAAUUAGAUCAUGCGAUGAUUACUUGGUGGCAAGGCGAUGGUUAACAAAAUAUAUGUCCUGUGACACAUCUGAUCUCCAUUCAGAAGAGGAGGCAAUUCCUAAAAGGAGAAAGCCAAUGCCUGUCCAUUUCUUUGGGGACUCGGAUGCAGACAGCGAGACUGAAAAUCGCCACCCCAAAAAAAAAAAGGGUCCAACCACUAGCAGGACAGUUGCCCCUCCUCCAACUAUUGUCCCAUCUCCUCCACAGACUUCAUCACCAGCAGGACAGCGAACAAGCCAUGCAGGGUACACACCAACCUGGCGAGGGGCGAGGUGUGGUUCAGACACCAUUGCCUGCUGUGCUCAAAGAUCCAGCCAACGCUUUAAUGAAGAAGAGUGACUUCAUCACCAGCAGGACAGCGAACAAGCCAUGCAGGGUACACACCAACCUGGCGAGGGGCGAGGUGUGGUUCAGACACCAUUGCCUGCUGUGCUCAAAGAUCCAGCCAACGCUAUAAUGAAGGAGAGUGGUGAGUUGUUGUUUUUUUAACCCUUGUGUUGCCUUAGGGUCAUUUUGACCCGAUUCAAUGUUUCACCCUCCUGUUACCUUUAUAUUUACUAACAUAUUUUACCCUUAGGGUCAUUUUGACCCGAUUCAAUGUUUCACCCUCCUGUUACCUUUAUAUUUACUAACAUAUUUUACCCUUUGGGUUCAAUUUGACGCCAGCAAUUAAAACCUCCAGAAAAUUAUUAGAAUUAAUAUUGUUUUCCAAGUUUAAGUGUGAGGCACUUUAUGUUUGUUUGUUGACUACCGAAAGAACACCGACAUUAAACAUUGAAUGGGGUCAAAUUAAUCCUAAGGCGGGGGGAGGGUGUAAUAUUGAUUCGGGUCAAAAUGACCCUAAGGCAACACAAGGGUUAAGAA